GACGAACGCUGGCGGCGUGCCUAAUACAUGCAAGUUGAGCGCUGAAGGUGGGUAUUUGUACCCACUGUAUGAUCAGCAAACGGGUGAGUAACGCGUGGGGAAUCUGUCUUUGAGCGGGGGACAACUUUUGGAAACGAAUGCUAAUACCGCAUAAAAACUUUAAACACAAGUUUUAAGUUUGAAAGAUGCAAUUGCAUCACUCAAAGAUGAUCCCGCGUUGUAUUAGCUAGUUGGUGAGGAAAAGGCUCACCAAGGCGAUGAUAAAUAGCCGACCGGAGAGGGGGAUCGGCGAAAUGGGGAUGGAGAAACGGCCCAGACCCCUACGGGAGGAAGCAGUAGGGAAUCUUCGGAAAUGGACGGAAGGCUGACCGAGCAACGCCGCGGGAGGGAAGAAGGGUUUCGGAUCGUAAAGCUCUGUUGGAAGAGAAGAACGAGGGUGAGAGUGGAAAGUUCACAAUGUGACGGUAUCUUACCAGAAAGGGACGGCUAACUACGUG
rnacentral:rRNA from 1 species